GUCUAUGGCCAUGCCACCCUGAACAAGCCCGAUGUCUGAUCUCAGAAGCUAAGCAGUGUCAGGCCUGGUUAGUACUUGGAUGGGAGACCACCUAAGAAGACCAGAUGCUGUAGGCA
rnacentral:rRNA from 1 species